AUUGAAUGCUCUUGGCGUGGAUGAGGCAUGCAAGUCGAACGGAAUCGUAGCAAUGCGAUUUAGUGGCGGAAGGGUUAGUAAUACAUGGAUAAAUUACCUCUUACCUGGGGAUAACGGUUGGAAACGGCCGCUAAUACCGAAUGAGGAGGUUCAAGGCAUCUUGAACAUAUCAAAGUAUGGGACCGUGAAAGCGGCCAUGCGGUGGGAGAAAUGUCCAUGCGAUAUCAGCUUGUUGGUGUGGUAAAGGCGCACCAAGGCUACGACGUCUAGGCGGAUUGAGAGAUUGACCGCCAACACUGGGACUGAGACACUGCCCAGACUCCUACGGGAGGCUGCAGUCGAGAAUCUUUCGCAAUGGGCGAAAGCCUGACGAAGCGACGCCGUGUGAACGAAGAAGGCCUUAGGGUUGUAAAGUUCUUUCGCUUGGGAACAAGAGAGUGGUACAAAUAGUGCCAUGACUUGAGGGUACCUGGUAAAGAAGCACCGGCUAACUCCGUGCCAGCAGCUGCGGUAAUACGGAGGGUGCGAGCAUUAAUCGGAUUUACUGGGCGUAAAGGGCGCGUAGGCGGAAAUGAAAGUCAGAGGUGAAAUUCCGUGGCUCAACCACGGAGCUGCAUCUGAAACUACUUAGCUAGAGGAUAGACGGGGAAAGCGGAAUUCCACGUGUAGCGGUGAAAUGCGUAGAUAUGUGGAAGAACACCGGUGGCGAAGGCGGUUUUCUAGCUUAUUCCUGACGCUGAGGCGCGAAAGCAAGGGGAGCAAACAGGAUUAGAUACCCUGGUAGUCCUUGCCGUAAACGAUGCAUACUUGAUGUAGUUGGACUCAACCCCAACUGUGUCGAAGCUAACGCGUUAAGUAUGCCGCCUGGGGAGUACACUCGCAAGGGUGAAACUCAAAAGAAUUGACGGGGGCCCGCACAAGCAGUGGAGCAUGUGGUUUAAUUCGAUGCAACGCGAAGAACCUUACCUAGGCUCGAAAUGUAGAGGACGUAAGCAGAAAUGUUUAUUCCCGCAAGGGUCUCUAUAUAGGUGCUGCAUGGCUGUCGUCAGCUCGUGCCGUGAGGUGUUGGGUUAAGUCCCGCAACGAGCGCAACCCUUAUCGUUAGUUGCCAACAUUUAAGGUGGGGACUCUAACGAGACUGCCUGGGUUAACCAGGAGGAAGGUGAGGAUGACGUCAAGUCCGCAUGGCCUUUAUGUCUAGGGCUACACACGUGCUACAAUGGCCGGUACAAAGAGCAGCGAAGCCGCGAGGUGAAGCAAAUCUCACAAAACCGGUCUCAGUUCGGAUUGUAGUCUGCAACUCGACUACAUGAAGUUGGAAUUGCUAGUAAUGGCGUGUCAGCAUAACGCCGUGAAUACGUUCCCGGGCCUUGUACACACCGCCCGUCACAUCAUGGGAGUUGGUUUUACCCGAAGUCGCUGACUCAACC
rnacentral:rRNA from 1 species